CCUACGGGGGGCAGCAGUGGGGAAUAUUGCACAAUGGGCGCAAGCCUGAUGCAGCCAUGCCGCGUGUAUGAAGAAGGCCUUCGGGUUGUAAAGUACUUUCAGCGGGGAGGAAGGUGUUGAGGUUAUUCACCCCAGCAAUUGACGUUACCCGUAGGAGCAGCACCGGCUAACUCCGUGCAAGCAGCCGCCGUAAUCCGGAAGGAGCAAGCGUAAAUCGGUAUUACUGGGCGUAACGCGCACGCAGGCGGUCUGUCAAGUCGGAUGCGAAAUCCCGGGGCUCAACCUGGGAACUGCAGUGGGAACUGGCAGGCUAGAGUGUGGUAGAGGGGGGUAGAAUUCCAGGUGUAGCGGUGAAAUGCGUAGAUAUCAGGAGGAAUACCGGUGGCGAAGGCGGACCUCUGGACAAAGACUGACGCUCAGGAGCGAAAGCGUGGGGAGCAAACAGGAUUAGAUACCCCUGUAGUC
rnacentral:rRNA from 1 species